CCGAACACAGAAGUUAAGCUUCUUAGCGCCGAUUGUAGUGAGGGGUUGCCCCUUGUGAGAGUAGGACGUCGCCACGC
rnacentral:rRNA from 1 species